rnacentral:rRNA from 1 species
GUAAAUUACUUAAUUUACUUUACUUACAAAUCCACCUUUAAUUUUAAUACAAAUUAAAAAAUCCGUAUAAAUAAUAUUAUUGUAACCCAUUAGUACUUAUACAUAAGCUUCACCUUGACCUGACAUAUAUGUAUUUAACAAUCAAGAAAAUUUAUUCUAAAAAAACAUUCUUAUGACGGAGGUAUAAAAACUGAAUACAACUAUAAGUAAAUAAAAUCGUGGAUUAUCGAUUACACAACAGGUUCCUCUGAAAAGACUAAAAUACCGCCAAAUUCUUUGGGUUUCAAGAACUUAACUAUUACUACCCGGGUGCUAAAUUAACAUUUAGU